rnacentral:rRNA from 1 species
GACGAACGCUGGCGGCGUGCUUAACACAUGCAAGUCGAGCGGAAAGGCCCUUCGGGGUACUCGAGCGGCGAACGGGUGAGUAACACGUGAGUAACCUGCCCUAGGCUUUGGGAUAACCCUCGGAAACGGGGGCUAAUACCGAAUAUUCAUGUUCUGCGGCAUCGUGGGGUGUGGUAAAGUUUUUCGGCCUGGGAUGGGCUCGCGGCCUAUCAGCUUGUUGGUGGGGUGAUGGCCUACCAAGGCGACGACGGGUAGCCGGCCUGAGAGGGCGACCGGCCACACUGGGACUGAGACACGGCCCAGACUCCUACGGGAGGCAGCAGUGGGGAAUAUUGCACAAUGGGCGGAAGCCUGA